rnacentral:rRNA from 1 species
UACCAGCUCUCCGAGUGGUAGGGAUGAUUAUUGGGCUUAAAGCGUCCGUAGCCGGCCCAGCAAGUCUUCUGUUAAAUUCAGCGACUUAAUCGUUGGGCUGCGGAAGAUACUGUUGGGCUAGGGGGCGGGAGAGGCUGACGGUAUUCCCGGGGUAGGGGUGAAAUCCUAUAAUCCCGGGAGGACCACCAGUGGCGAAGGCUGUCGGCUAGAACGCGCUCGACGGUGAGGGACGAAAGCUGGGGGAG